rnacentral:rRNA from 1 species
AAUCAACGCUGGCGGCGUGCCUAACACAUGCAAGUCGAACGAGAAAGGGUAGCAAUACCUGAGUAAAGUGGCGCACGGGUGAGUAACACGUGACUAACCUACCCUGGAGUGGGGGAUAACUGAGGGAAACCUUAGCUAAUACCGCAUAAUACCUACGGGUCAAAGGAGCAAUUCGCUUUGGGAGGGGGUCGCGGCCGAUUAGUUAGUUGGCGGGGUAAUGGCCCACCAAGACAGUGAUCGGUAUCCGGCCUGAGAGGGCGCACGGACACACUGGAACUGAAACACGGUCCAGACUCCUACGGGAGGCAGCAGUGGGGAAUUUUGCGCAAUGGGGGAAACCCUGACGCAGCAACGCCGCGUGGAGGAUGAAGUACUUCGGUACGUAAACUCCUUUCGAUCGGGACGAUAAUGACGGUACCGGAAGAAGAAGCCCCGGCUAACUUCGUGCCAGCAGCCGCGGUAAUACGAGGGGGGCAAGCGUUGUUCGGAAUUAUUGGGCGUAAAGGGUGCGUAGGCGGUUUGGUAAGUCUUAUGUGAAAUCUCCGGGCUCAACUCGGAGUCUGCAUGGGAAACUGCCG